ACUUUUUGAAUAAACUCCAGGAAACGACGAGAGUAGAAUGUAGGGUCCACAGCUGAGAUAGACAAUGAAUCAAACUGAAGAGAUUUAUAAGCAUGUUCAAUCUUCUUGGUCAUGUUAUAGUCCUGCAAUAUAUCAAUGAUACCCAGGUACAGCACCACAUCGUACACCUCCUGGAACUUUGCUUUUUCUUGUUUAUCUGAAAUCUGCUCUGCCCUUGAAGGCAUGUUCACACCAAGCUGGAUUUGGAGUCUGUUUAACAAAUUCAGAAGACAAAUAUGCAUAUGGGUAUUUGCAGUAUUGUGGCAAUGAUACAAAAUUAUAGAGUAAAGGAAUCAUUAUAAUCAUUAAAAUCCUGAAUAGAAUAGUUUGAAUAGUCUACAUUAUAAGUAACACGUGUGACAAUUUCAAGAAAAUAAAUAACCAAUUUAUCUGUUAUACCGAACCCUUUCGAUCAUAUUCUAUCUGAUUUGUGUUAAACUUAGAUACAGUCUCAGAGUGUUAUUUAUGCUGUUUUCCUAUCAAAUCUAAACUUUCACUUUGAUCAUCUAUAUAAUCGUUCAUACAAAAUUUUUAUUAGAUAUGUUACUUAGGUGAAAUUUGAAUUCUGAUUGAAAAAUAAUAUGAACACCUAAAGAAUUGUAUAUAAGUUUUGUCCUUUGAUCUAACCUGCAUAUGCUGUGAACAAGAGAACUCUCAAACAGUCUAGCUAACCUGAGUUAUUUAACUUGAAGAUUAAAGGCCAAGGCAAAGUAAUUAAGAAACCACACCUUGCUGUACCAGGUAAGAGUAGAUCCACCUCCUCAUCACCAGCAGAUGAAGCCCGCAACCGACUACCCCUCACAUGUGAGCCCACAACAACACUGUUAUCAUCUGCUCCUCUAGGAACUAGAACAAGACCUUGUGGAUAGGAUGCUUCAUCCUCCAGAG
rnacentral:lncRNA from 1 species